GUAAUUCUGAAUCGCUAGAGUCCACCUAGCUAUUCUAGGAUUCAGCGGAAUUUGUCGCCUGGCUAAAAUAAGCUAUCGGAGCCCACUUUCCGUCGCCCUGUUUCUGAAGAAGCACCGCACCGAUUCCCGUACUGCAUGCAUCCGUAUGCAAUUGAGUUUCCGCUGCCGGGUCAUACAACCUUAAUACCGGAUGCUAUGAGAACGUCGUCUAUGUACACGAGUACCUU